rnacentral:rRNA from 1 species
UACGUAGGGUGCAAGCGUUAAUCAGAAUUACUGGGCGUAAAGCGUGCGCAGGCGGUGAUGUAAGACAGAUGUGAAAUCCCCGGGCUCAACCUGGGAACUGCAUUUGUGACUGCAUCGCUAGAGUACGGCAGAGGGGGAUGGAAUUCCGCGUGUAGCAGUGAAAUGCGUAGAUAUGCGGAGGAACACCGAUGGCGAAGGCAAUCCCCUGGGCCUGUACUGACGCUCAUGCACGAAAGCGUGGGGAGCAAACAGG